rnacentral:rRNA from 1 species
CCGGUAAACGGCGGCCGUAACUAUAACGGUCCUAAGGUAGCGAAAUUCCUUGUCGGGUAAGUUCCGACCUGCACGAAUGGCGUAAUGAUGGCCAGGCUGUCUCCACCCGAGACUCAGUGAAAUUGAACUCGCUGUGAAGAUGCAGUGUACCCGCGGCAAGACGGAAAGACCCCGUGAACCUUUACUAUAGCUUGACACUGAACAUUGAGCCUUGAUGUGUAGGAUAGGUGGGAGGCUUUGAAGUGUGGACGCCAGUCUGCAUGGAGCCGACCUUGAAAUACCACCCUUUAAUGUUUGAUGUUCUAACGUUGACCCGUAAUCCGGGUUGCGGACAGUGUCUGGUGGGUAGUUUGACUGGGGCGGUCUCCUCCUAAAGAGUAACGGAGGAGCACGAAGGUUGGCUAAUCCUGGUCGGACAUCAGGAGGUUAGUGCAAUGGCAUAAGCCAGCUUGACUGCGAGCGUGACGGCGCGAGCAGGUGCGAAAGCAGGUCAUAGUGAUCCGGUGGUUCUGAAUGGAAGGGCCAUCGCUCAACGGAUAAAAGGUACUCCGGGGAUAACAGGCUGAUACCGCCCAAGAGUUCAUAUCGACGGCGGUGUUUGGCACCUCGAUGUCGGCUCAUCACAUCCUGGGGCUGAAGUAGGUCCCAAGGGUAUGGCUGUUCGCCAUUUAAAGUGGUACGCGAGCUGGGUUUAGAACGUCGUGAGACAGUUCGGUCCCUAUCUGCCGUGGGCGCUGGAGAACUGAGGGGGGCUGCUCCUAGUACGAGAGGACCGGAGUGGACGCAUCACUGGUGUUCGGGUUGUCAUGCCAAUGGCACUGCCCGGUAGCUAAAUGCGGAAGAGAUAAGUGCUGAAAGCAUCUAAGCACGAAACUUGCCCCGAGAUGAGUUCUCCCUGACCCUUUAAGGGUCCUGAAGGAACGUUGAAGACGACGACGUUGAUAGGCCGGGUGUGUAAGCGCAGCGAUGCGUUGAGCUAACCGGUACUAAUGAACCGUGAGGCUUAACCUU